UACGAAGGGUGCAAGCGUCACUCGGAAUCACUGGGCGUAAAGCGUGCGUAGGCGGUUUCUUAAGUCUGUCGUGAAAGCCCUGGGCUCAACCUGGGAACGGCGAUGGAUACUGGGAAGCUAGAAUGUGAGAGAGGACGGUGGAAUUCCCGGUGUAGCGGUGAAAUGCGUAGAGAUCGGGAGGAACACAGUGGCGAAGGCGGCCAUCCGGCUCAACAUUGACGCUGAGGCACGAAAGCGUGGGGAGCAAACAGG
rnacentral:rRNA from 1 species